UUCCAUCUUCAGGGCAGGGUGAAAUUCCCGACCGGCGGUAAAAGUAGAUUGAGCCCGCGAGCGAGUAGAGUUUACUUGCUGACUCCGUGAGAACCGGAGGCCGACAGUACAGUCUGGAUGGGAGAAGAUGGAG
rnacentral:ncRNA from 1 species